rnacentral:rRNA from 1 species
AUUGAACGCUGGCGGCAGGCCUAACACAUGCAAGUCGAGCGAGCGGCGGACGGGUGAGUAAUGUAUGGGGAACUGCCCGAUAGAGGGGGAUAACUACUGGAAACGGUGGCUAAUACCGCAUACUAUCGGAUGUACCCAUAUGGGAUUAGCUAGUAGGUGGGGUAAAGGCUCACCUAGGCGACGAUCCCUAGCUGGUCUGAGAGGAUGAUCAGCCACACUGGAACUGAGACACGGCCCAGACGCCUACGAGAGGCAGCAGUGGGGAAUAUUGCACAAUGGGCGCAAGCCUGAUGCAGCCAUGCCGCGUGUAUGAAGAAGGCCUUAGGGUUGUAAAGUACUUUCAGCGGGGAGGCGUUACCCGCAGAAGAAGCACCGGCUAACUCCGUGCCAGCAGCCGCGGUAAUAC